CAUGGCUACACUACAUGGCUACACUACACGGCUACACCACAUGGCUACACUACAUGGCUACACUACACGGCUACACUACACGGCUACACCACACUACACUACAUGACUACACUACAUGGCUACACUACAUGGCUACACUACAUGGCUACACUACACGGCUACACUACAUGGCUACACUACAUGGCUACACUACAUGGCUACACUACAUGGCUACACUACAUGGCUACACUACAUGGCUACACCACACUACACUUCUAUAUUCUAUUGUUAAGGGCUGGAAAGGGAGAGACACAAUGUUGACAAUUUAAUAACUUAGUCUGUAAGAGUCAGUCUGAGUUCCUGAUUGGUCUAGAGUCAGGCUGAGUUGCUGAUUGGUCUAGAGUCAGGCUGAGAUGCUGGCUGAGUCAGGCUGAGAUGCUGAAUGGUCUAGAGCCAGGCUGAGUUGGUGAUUGGUCUAGAGUCAGGCUGAGAUGCUGAUUGGUCUAGAGUCAGGCUGAGAUGCUGAUUGGUCUAGAGUCAGGCUGAGUUGCUGAUUGGUCUAGAGUCAGGCUGAGAUGCUGAUUAGUCUAGAGUCAGGCUGAGAUGCUGAUUGGUCCAGAGUCAGGCUGAGAUGCUGAUUGGUCUAGAGUCAGGCUGAGAUGCUGAUUGGCCUAGAGUCAGGCUGAGAUGCUGAUUAGUCUAGAGUCAGGCUGAGAUGCUGAUUGGUCCAGAGUCAGGCUGACAUGUGAGUAGUACGUGAUCUCUCACAAACACAAAAUAUAUUUGAGAUUCUUCAAAGUAGCCACCCUUUGCCUUGAUGACAGCUUUGCACACUCUUGGCAUUCUCUCAACCAGCUUCACCCGGAAUGCUUUUCCAACAGUCUUGAAGGAGUUCCCGCAUAUGCUGAGCACUUGUUGGCUGCUUUUCCUUCACUCUGCGGUACAGCUCAUCCCAAUUGGGUUGAGGUUGGGUGAUUGUGGAGGCCAUGUAAUCUGAUGCAGCACUCAAUCACUCUCCUUCUUGGUCAAAUAGCCCUUAGACCGCCUGGAGGUGUGUUGGGUCAUUGUCCUGUUGAAAAACAAAUGAUUGUCCCACUAAGCGCAAACCACCGACAGUGUCACCAGCAAAGCACCAUCACACCACCUCCUCCUCCUCCAUGCUUCACGGUGGGAACCACACAUGUGGAGAUCAUCCGUUCACCUAGUCUGCAUCUCACAAAGACACACCGGUUGGAAACAAAAAUCAAAUAUUUGGACUCAUCAGACCAAAGGACAGAUUUCAACCAAUAGAGUCUCUUAUUAUUAUUGGUGUCCUUCAGUAGUGGUUUCUUUGCAGCAAUUCGACCAUGAAGACCUGAUUCACACAGUCUCCUCUGAACAGUUGAUGUUGAGAUGUGUCUGUUACUUGAACUCUGUGAAGCAUUUAUUUGGGCUGCAAUUUCUGAGGCUGGUAAGUCUAACUUAGCAGCAGAAGUAACUCUGGGUCUUCCUUUCCUGUGGUGGUCCUCAUGAGAGCCAGUUUCAUCAUAGCGCUUGAUGGUUUUUAAGACGGCACUUGAAGAAAGUUCUUGAAAUGUUCCGUAUUGACUGACCUUCAUGUGUUAAAGUAACGAUAGACUGUUGUUUCUCUUUGCUUAUUUGAGCUGUCCUUGCCAUAAUAUGGACUUGGUCUUUUACCAAAUAGGGCUAUCUUCUGUAUACCACCCCUAUCUUGUCACAACACAACUGAUUGGCUCAAACACAUUAAGAAGGAAAUAAAUUCCACAAAUGAACUUUUAACAAGGCACACCUGUUAAUUGAAAUGCAUUCCAGGUGACUACCUCACGAAGCUGGUUGAGAGAAUGCCAAGAGUGUGCAAAGCUGUCAUCAAGGCAAAGGG
ensembl:lncRNA